UAGGGAAUAUUGGGCAAUGGGCGCAAGCCUGACCCAGCAACGCCGCGUGAGGGAAGAAGGUUUUCGGAUUGUAAACCUCUGUCCUAUGUGACGAAGGAAGUGACGGUAGCAUAGGAGGAAGCCCCGGCUAACUACGUGCCAGCAGCCGCGGUAAUACGUAGGUGGCGAGCGUUAUCCGGAAUGAUUGGGCGUAAAGGGUGCGUAGGUGGCAGAUCAAGUCUGGAGUAAAAGGUAUGGGCUCAACCCGUACUGGCUCUGGAAACUGAUCAGCUAGAGAACAGAAGAGGACGGCGGAACUCCAUGUGUAGCGGUAAAAUGCGUAGAUAUAUGGAAGAACACCGGUGGCGAAGGCGGCCGUCUGGUCUGGAUUCUGACACUGAAGCACGAAAGCGUGGGGAGCAAAUAGGAUUAGAUACCCUAGUAGUCCACGCCGUAAACGAUGAGAACUAGGUGUUGGGGGAAUAACUCAGUGCCGCAGUUAACGCAGUAAGUUCUCCGCCUGAGGAGUAUGCACGCAAGUGUGAAACUCAAAGGAAUUGACGGGGGCCCGCACAAGCGGUGGAGUAUGUGGUUUAAUUCGAAGCAACGCGAAGAACCUUACCAGGCCUUGACAUCCCUUGCAGAGGUAUAGAGAUAUAUCCGAGGUUAUCAAGGAGACAGGUGGUGCAUGGUUGUCGUCAGCUCGUGUCGUGAGAUGUUGGGUUAAGUCCCGCAACGAGCGCAACCCUUGUGAUAUGUUACUAACAUUGAGUUGAGGACUCAUAUCAGACUGCCGGUGAUAAACCGGAGGAAGGUGGGGAUGACGUCAAAUCAUCAUGCCCCUUAUGGCCUGGGCUACACACGUACUACAAUGGCGUCUACAAAGAGCGGCAAGCCUGUGAAGGCAAGCGAAUCUCAUAAAGGACGUCUCAGUUCGGAUUGAAGUCUGCAACCCGACUUCAUGAAGCUGGAAUCGCUAGUAAUCGCGAAUCAGCAUGUCGCGGUGAAUACGUUCUC
rnacentral:rRNA from 1 species